rnacentral:rRNA from 1 species
AGAGUUUGAUCCUGGCUCAGGACAAACGCUGGCGGGGUGCAUGAGACAUGCAAGUCGAACGGGGUUGAGCGGGCUUGCUCGAUCAACCUAGUGGCGGACGGCUGAGUAACGCGUAGGUGACCUACCCGGAAGUGGGGAAUAACUGCCCGAAAGGGUGGCUAAUACCGCAUGUGGUCGGCGAUUCGGUUCGCCGCCCAAAGCCGCAAGGCGCCUCCGGCGGGGCCUGCGUCCGAUUAGCUAGUUGGUGGGGUAAUGGCUCACCAAGGCGACGAUCGGUAGCUGGUCUGAGAGGAUGAUCAGCCAGACUGGGACUGAGAACGGCCCAGACUCCUACGGGAGGCAGCAGUCGGGAAUUUUGCCCAAUGGACGAAAGUCUGAGGCAGCAACUCCGCGUGAGGGACGAAGGCCUUCGGGUCGUAAACCUCUUUUCUCAGGGAAGAUCCAAGACGGUACCUGAGGAAUAAGCCACGGCUAACUACGUGCCAGCAGCCGCGGUAAUUC